rnacentral:rRNA from 1 species
UAGGGAAUAUUGGACAAUGGGCGAGAGCCUGAUCCAGCCAUGCCGCGUGCAGGAAGAAGGCCCUCUGGGUUGUAAACUGCUUUUGACAGGGGCCAAAAUAUCCAUGCGUGGAGAAUUGAGAGUACCUGUAGAAUAAGCACCGGCUAACUCCGUGCCAGCAGCCGCGGUAAUACGGAGGGUGCAAGCGUUGUCCGGAUUUAUUGGGUUUAAAGGGUGCGUAGGUGGCCUUAUAAGUCAGUGGUGAAAGCCUGCAGCUUAACUGUAGGACUGCCAUUGAUACUGUAGGGCUUGAGUACUGAUGAGGUAGGCGGAAUUGAUAGUGUAGCGGUGAAAUGCAUAGAUAUUAUCAAGAACACCGAUUGCGAAGGCAGCUUACUAAGGAGUUACUGACACUGAGGCACGAAAGCGUGGGGAUCAAACAGGAUUAGAUACCCCCGUAGUCC